rnacentral:rRNA from 1 species
GACGAACGCUGGCGGCGUGCUUAACACAUGCAAGUCGAACGGAAAGGCCCUGCUUUUGUGGGUUUCUCGAUUGGCGAACGUGUGUGUAACACGUGAGUAACCUGCCCUUGUCUUUGGGAUAACUUCAGGAAACUGGGGCUAAUACCGGAUAUGAUCUCCUGCUGCAUGUUGUGGGUUGGUAAGUUUCGGCGGUUGUGGAUGUUCUCGCUGCUUAUCAGCUUGUUUGUGGGGUAGUGGCUUACCAAGGGUUUGACGGGUAGCCGGCCUGAGAGGGUUACCGGCGACAUUGGGACUACGGUACGGAGCAGAAGGCUACGGGAGGCAACAGUGGGGAAUAUUACAGAAUGGGGGGAAGCGUGAUGCAGAAACGCCGCGUGCGGGAUGACGGGCUUCGGGUUGAAAACAGAUUUCGAAUGUGACGAAGAGUGAGUGACGGUAAUGGGUAAAGAAGCACCGGCUAACUACGUG